GAGUGCGAUCAUACCAUUGCUAAUGCACUGAAUCCCACCAUAACUCCGUAGUUAAGUGUGCUUUGGACAAAGUAGUACUGGGAUGGGUGACCUUUUGAUAAGUCUUAGUGUUGCACCCU
rnacentral:rRNA from 1 species